CACUAACACUGCUCCAAGCCCUAUUCAAUAACCGAGACAUCUCUGAAUUAAGAUUAUUUUUAAAAUUUAUACAGAUUGACCUUGAACUUUUAUUUCAAAAUUUUCUUAUCUUUUCUUUACUAGGUGACUCUCUCUCUCCUCCCCUUAUUUUUGUUUAAGCUUUAGAUGAAUAUACAACUAGGCUAAACCAACGGUUUCACUGCCCUACCCUCGGGUCUUACUACC
rnacentral:lncRNA from 1 species